rnacentral:tRNA from 1 species
GCAGGUGUAGCUUAAUUGAAUAGAGCUUCGUCAUACGAAGGCGAAAGAUCGGGGUUUGAGUCCCUGCACUUGCU